AGAGUUUGAUCAUGGCUCAUAUUGAACGCUGGCGGCAGGCCUAACACAUGCUAGUCGAACGGUAACAGGUAGUGCUUGCACUUCGCUGACCAGUGGCGGACGGGUGAGUAAUGCUUGGGAACUUGCCUUUGCGAGGGGGAUAACAGUUGGAAACGACUGCUAAUACCGCAUAAUGUCUACCGACCAAACGGGGCUUCCGCUCCGGCGCAAAGAGAGGCCCAAGUGAGAUUAGCUAGUUGGUUAGGUAAAGGCUUACCAAGGCAACCGUCUCUAGCUGUUCUGAGAGGAAGAUCAGCCACACUGGAACUGAGACACCGUCCAGACUCCUACGGGA
rnacentral:rRNA from 1 species